GCUUCUGAAAGAUAUAAGUAAUCUAUUGGUCUUAGGAACCAAAAACCCUUGGUGCAACUCCAAGCAAAAGCU
rnacentral:tRNA from 1 species